rnacentral:rRNA from 1 species
AGGAUGAACGCUGGCGGCGUGCUUAACACAUGCAAGUCACGGGGGCCCAGCAAUGGGCAACCGGCGAACGGGUGCGUAACACGUGAGCAACCUACCGAAAUGAGGGGGAUAGCCGGCCCAACGGCCGGGUAAUACCGCAUACGCUCGAGACCAGGCAUUUGGACUCGAGGAAACCUCCGCUUCAGGAUGGGCCCGCGGCCCAUUAGCUUGUUGGUGAGGUAACGGCCCACCAAGGCUUCGAUGGGUAGCUGGUCUGAGAGGACGAUCAGCCACACUGGGACUGAGACACGGCCCAGACUCCUACGGGAGGCAGCAGUCGGGAAUUUGCUCAAUGGGCGAAAGCCUGAAGCAGCAACGCCGCGUGAGGGAUGAAGGCCUUCGGGUCGUAAACCUCUUUUCCGGGACGAUAAUGACGGUACCGGUGAAUAAGCCACGGCUAACUACGUGCCAGCAGCCGC